AUAGUAAUAAUGAUUGAUCCAGGUUUGCCACAAUCGAUCAGCAGUCAGCUCGAUUGCGAUAGAAUGACAGCUACAAUGUCACGAUCGCAAUCACCUCUGAUUGGUUGACGGUCGCUCACUAUUGGCUAUAACGCUUUGUUGCAACAAG